rnacentral:rRNA from 1 species
GACGAACGCUGGCGGCGUGCUUAACACAUGCGAGUCGAACGGAAAGGCCCUGCUUUUGUGGGGUGCUCGAGUGGCGAACGGGUGAGUAACACGUGAGUAACCUGCCCUUGACUUUGGGAUAACUUCAGGAAACUGGGGCUAAUACCGGAUAGGAGCUCCUGCUGCAUGGUGGGGGUUGGAAAGUUUCGGCGGUUGGGGAUGGACUCGCGGCUUAUCAGCUUGUUGGUGGGGUAGUGGCUUACCAAGGCUUUGACGGGUAGCCGGCCUGAGAGGAUGACCGGCCACAUUGGGACUGAGAUACGGCCCAGACUCCUACGGGAGGCAGCAGUGGGGAAUAUUGCACAAUGGGCGGAAGCCUGAUGCAGCAACGCCGCGUGCGGGAUGACGGCCUUCGGGUUGUAAACCGCUUUCGCCUGUGACGAAGCGUGAGUGACGGUAAUGGGUAAAGAAGCACCGGCUAACUACGUG